ACCCCAUUUCUCACACAGCAAGUGGAACUGGGUAGUGAUUGCCAGUUUACCACACGCAGGGUGGCUCCUAGAACAUACUUUCCCUGUGUGGGAAUUAGAAAGAAGCACUGCCUCUGCACAGGUGGAUUUUAAGGGUGCCCCAUUGGACAGGACACGGCCCAUGUGUAAUAGCUUUGCCACAAUUGCCACCAUCUCCUUGAGUCAGUUUACUCAUGUCUGAGCUUUCAGGCAUUUGAGUUUGUGACCCCUGCCAAAGCCUUUGGAGGAAGUAGCUGCCUGCAGCAUACAUCUUGAUGAAAGAGGGCUGGCCAGAGGGCUUUCUCUGAUUGCUUGCACACAGAGAUGGAGACACCAGCAUUUGUUUGACUUAGCUCCUGUGUUUUUCUGAGAACACAGCUGGAUAAUUUUGCAGGAAUUAUAUUCAUAGGCUAGGUCUCUGUAUCCUCAUGAUUCACUCUACUUCCUGAACCUCCACAAUCCCCCACCCCUGGCCGCAUGCUGAUUUGCCAUUUGUUCCUUUUUUCAGCUUAUGAGAGGAAGUGUCCAAGGAGAAUAUAGCAAGUUCUCUCCUAUGACACAGGGAUAUAACUCCUUUAACUUGAAGAGUUUGAGGCAGACUUCAUGAACCAUUUUUGAAUGAGCUGAUUCUAGUAUCUAUCUCUGUUGACAGCUUGCUCUUAUUAUACCCUUCCCCAAAGUGAACCCUGCAGCUACUGACAAUGGAUGAGGCCAAGGAGCUAAGGAGCCCCUCUGUGGCCUCAGCAUACCUGAAUAAUAGUCUCUCUGUGGCUCUCCAAGAACAGUGAGGUUUUCUUUUUUUCUUUUUUUUUUUUUUUUUUAGCACUGGAAUGACAAUCAUCAAAAUCAUUUACAAAAUGCAGUGUAAGUGAUGCUGUAUAAGGGGUGGUAAAAUGAAGUUAAUAUUAUACCAUUUGAUAGCUUAUAAACUGACUUAUAAUUAAGCAGUUGUAGGAUAAUUAAGUGUCUGUUUUGGCAGUAGCAUGGAUUUCAGAUUGGAAUUGAACACUGGCGUUGACACUAGUUAUUUGAACUGGACUAAUCAUUCAAUUCUGUGACCCUUAAUAGAAAAGUAGUUAAAUUAUAACAUGAAGGGUGAGACCUUAGAGUAGUUAAGAACUCAGGAGUCCUUUCUCC
rnacentral:lncRNA from 1 species